rnacentral:lncRNA from 1 species
UGAGCACGACAAAGGAGCAGAAUUCCUAGGCAAAAGGAUACUGGGAGAACAGGAGGAGCAUGCUCAAGGACACAACAUAGAUGGUCACUCCCGCCUUUUGAGCUCUUUGUAAAACUGCCAUAAGAGGCUGCAGUUCAGUGACAAAGUAAUGCAACUUGGCAAGGAAAAGAGUAAAGCCUGGUGAUGAGAAGAAAAAAUGCAAGAAAAUGAAAAUCAGGAGUCAAACAAUGUAGAACAGCUUCUUACCCCCAUCCAUACCCCAUGGCCCAGGCCCUCAGCAUUGAUGGCAUUGUCUCUGCACAGCCAGAAUUUUAGGAAAUGCAUGCCAAUAUUGACAUUACCUCACGUAAUGAAAUCAAGAUUGGAGGCUGGCCCAGUGAUGGCCCAUCUGGAGAAGAGCCUCACGCCAAAGCUGCUAUCUCCCUUUUCCCUUUUUCUUCACACCUCACACUGAGCAUGUACUGCAUCCCGACUGACAGGACCCUCUUACUUCAGACUCUGAUGCCUCCUGAUCCCAAGCUAUACUCUGGGAGCUACCGCAAGGACAAGAAGUACUAUCGUGUUCCCUUAAAAGAAAAUAGAGAGAUCUUCGAAAGGUGGAAGGGGUGGCAGGCCAGAAACGUAAAGUGUGUGCAAUCACUCAGAUACAAGUGGCACCACUAA